rnacentral:rRNA from 1 species
GAAUUCGCCCUUAGAGUUUGAUCCUGGCUCAGGACGAACGCUGGCGGCGUGCCUAACACAUGCAAGUCGAACGGACAAGGCCCUUCGGGGCUGCGUUAGUGGCGAACGGGUGAGUAACGCGUGAGGAACCUGCCUUUCAGAGGGGGACAACAGUUGGAAACGACUGCUAAUACCGCAUGAUGCAGCGAGAUCGCAUGAUCCUGCUGCCAAAGAUUUAUCGCUGAAAGAUGGCCUCGCGUCUGAUUAGAUAGUUGGUGAGGUAACGGCCCACCAAGUCGACGAUCAGUAGCCGGACUGAGAGGUUGACCGGCCACAUUGGGACUGAGAUACGGCCCAGACUCCUACGGGAGGCAGCAGUGGGGAAUAUUGGGCAAUGGACGCAAGUCUGACCCAGCAACGCCGCGUGAAGGAAGAAGGCUUUCGGGUUGUAAACUUCUUUUGUCAGGGAAGAGCAGAAGACGGUACCUGACGAAUAAGCAUCGGCUAACUCCGUGCCAGCAGCCGCGGUAAUACGGAGGAUGCGAGCGUUAUCCGGAUUUAUUGGGUUUAAAGGGUGCGUAGGCGGAAUGCCAAGUCAGCGGUGAAACGCACGUGCUUAACACGUGACCUGCCGUUGAAACUGGUGAUCUGGAAUACGGAUGCUGUGGGAGGAAUGUGUGGUGUAGCGGUGAAAUGCAUAGAUAUCACACAGAACACCGAUUGCGAAGGCAUCUCACAAAUCCGUUAUUGACGCUGAGGCACGAAAGUGUGGGGAUCAAACAGGAUUAGAUACCCUGGUAGUCCACACUGUAAACGAUGAUGACUCGCUGUCGGCGAUAUACAGUCGGUGGCCAAGCGAAAGCGAUAAGUCAUCCACCUGGGGAGUACGACCGCAAGGUUGAAACUCAAAGGAAUUGACGGGGGCCCGCACAAGCGGAGGAACAUGUGGUUUAAUUCGAUGAUACGCGAGGAACCUUACCCGGGCUCGAACGGUGCAGGAAGAGAACUAGAGAUAGUGACGUCCUUCGGGACCUGCAUCGAGGUGCUGCAUGGUUGUCGUCAGCUCGUGCCGUGAGGUGUCGGCUUAAGUGCCAUAACGAGCGCAACCCUUGUCGUCAGUUACCAGCAAGUAGCGUUGGGGACUCUGGCGAGACUGCCACCGUAAGGUGAGAGGAAGGGGGGGAUGACGUCAAAUCAGCACGGCCCUUACGUCCGGGGCGACACACGUGUUACAAUGGUGGGUACAGAGGGCAGCUAUCCGGCGACGGAGUGCAAAUCUCGAAAACCCAUCUCAGUUCGGAUCGGAGUCUGCAACUCGACUCCGUGAAGUUGGAUUCGCUAGUAAUCGCGCAUCAGCCAUGGCGCGGUGAAUACGUACCCGGGCCUUGCACUCACCGCCCGUCA